GCCGAGUGUGGUGGCACUUCUGUAGUCCCAGAUACUCAAGAGGCUGAGGCAGAAGGAUUGCUUAAGUCCAGGCAUUCUGGGCUGCAAUGUGCUAUGGAUCAAGUUUUCACACAAAGUUUGGCAUCAACACGGUGACCUUCCAGAUCAGAGGACCACCAGAUUGCCUAAGAAGGGCUGAACCCACCCAGGCUGGAAACAGAGCAGGUCAAAACUCUAGAGCUGAUGAGUACUGGGAUUCCGCUUGUGAAUAGUUGCAUUCCAACCUGUGCAAUAUAGUGAGACCCAUCUCU
rnacentral:SRP_RNA from 1 species